AGUCGAGCGAACAGAUGAAGUGCUUGCACUUCUGACGUUAGCGGCGAACGGGUGAGUAACACGUAAGGAAUCUACCUAUAAGUGGGGGAUAACAUUCGGAAACGGGUGCUAAUACCGCAUAAUAUCUUCUUCCGCAUGGAAGAAGAUUGAAAGACGGCUCUGCUGUCACUUAUAGAUGACCUUGCGGUGCAUUAGUUAGUUGGUGGGGUAAUGGCCUACCAAGACGAUGAUGCAUAGCCGACCUGAGAGGGUGAUCGGCCACAUUGGGACUGAGACACGGCCCAAACUCCUACGGGAGGCAGCAGUAGGGAAUCUUCCGCAAUGGGCGAAAGCCUGACGGAGCAAUGCCGCGUGAGUGAAGAAGGCCUUCGGGUCGUAAAACUCUGUUAUAAGAGAAGAACAAAUUGUAGAGUAACUGCUACAGUCUUGACGGUAUCUUAUCAGAAAGCCACGGCUAACUACGUGCCAGCAGCCGCGGUAAUACGUAGGUGGCAAGCGUUGUCCGGAUUUAUUGGGCGUAAAGGGAGCGCAGGUGGUUUCUUAAGUCUGAUGUGAAAGCCCACGGCUUAACCGUGGAGGGUCAUUGGAAACUGGGAAACUUGAGUACAGAAGAGGAAUGUGGAACUCCACGUGUAGCGGUGGAAUGCGUAGAUAUAUGGAAGAACACCAGUGGCGAAGGCGACAUUCUGGUCUGUUACUGACACUGAGGCUCGAAAGCGUGGGGAGCAAACAGGAU
rnacentral:rRNA from 1 species